rnacentral:lncRNA from 1 species
UGCGUGAGUACAAGUCUCCAUGCUACAUUAGGCAAGCAUCAAUGUACACAUGUUGUUACCCUUUCUUUCAAGUACAACUUUUGUUUGUCACGAGAGUAGUCAGUUACAAGCAGUGUGACUCCAUGUCUCUCCUGGAGUUCUCCUGAUCUUCACUCAAGGUGACUAACAGACCUUCCUUGUUUUCACAAUUUUACUUUGAUACUUCACAGAGUGUCCCCCAUGUCCUACGACGUAAACAUCCAGCAGGUAAGACUUCCCAGGCUGCAGAUCUCUGAUUGUCUCUGUAGUCACUGCUUUCUGCAGGUUUUGGCUGUGGAAGUAUUUGCAAAGGACCUUCUCUGAUUUCUUUCUGGUGUCUGGUCCUAGGCACUGGUUUUGCUCUCUUCUCUUCUGGUCUUCACUGUAGUUUCCAUCCACUUCCUUUCUGUAGAUACAAAACUUUCUCCUUUCUUGGGUGCCAAGCCAUGCCACCGUAACUGAAGAGCAGGUACGUAGCUUGUCAAAAGCUUUGAUUCUUGUGUCUUCGGGAAGAGAGGGGAAUGCAUGCUUACUGGGCCUGGUGGUCGCCAGUAUUUUCAGCUUUGAUGCUCCUUUCCUGUUGCCUUUCAGUCGAAUGAGGUAUUUUCCUUUGGGUUUUCCUCUUAACUGAAACUGCCGAAUGCCUUCCACAUUCUGUGACAGAAGCAGCCUCCCAUCUCUUCUCACUUGGACUUGAACGGCAUCCAUACAAGAAUGAAUAAAGAACGUGACCUUUUGGUGAGAGGAGACUGGAGCAAACCGUAGAAACUUUUUCCCCUUCCUUUUAACAAACACAUCUGUGACCCUCCCGUCUUUGAGUUCCACUGUCUUCUGUUUUGCCUCCUCCUUGGUCCUGACAAAGGCACCCACAUAAGCUGUACUCAUGUUGGUGUUGGUAUUGACCAUGAAGACAUCAAAGUAGUAUUGGGUAUCGGGCUUCAGGUCAGAGACUGUGAAAAUGUUUUUAUUUCCUAUGCAAAUUUUUUGAAUGUCAACCUUGGGCCUCCAGUAGACAUGGCAUCAUCUGCAUUCAUCUUUGUUUCUGC